rnacentral:rRNA from 1 species
CCUACGGGAGGCAGCAGUGGGGAAUAUUGGGCAAUGGGCGCAAGCCUGACCCAGCAACGCCGCGUGAAGGAAGAAGGCUUUCGGGUUGUAAACUUCUUUUAAGAGGGAAGAGCAGAAGACGGUACCUCUUGAAUAAGCCACGGCUAACUACGUGCCAGCAGCCGCGGUAAUACGUAGGUGGCAGGCGUUGUCCGGAUUUACUGGGUGUAAAGGGCGUGCAGCGGGGAAGACAAGUCAGGUGUGAAAGCCCGCGGCUCAACCGCGGAACUGCAUUUGAAACUGUUUUUCUUGAGUACCGGAGAGGUCAUCGGAAUUCGUUGUGUAGCGGUGAAAUGCGUAGAUAUAAGGAAGAACACCAGUGGCGAAGGCGGAUGACUGGACGGCAACUGACGGUGAGGCGCGAAAGCGUGGGGAGCAAACAGGAUUAGAUACCCCAGUAGUC